UCCCUCCUUCACUACGGGGAUAUUAUUCAAGGGAAAGCCUCUGAAAACAUUGUCACUGAUGGUAUCGUUGUUAGCGGCAGCGCCGAAAUAGAUGAGGCGCACAUCACUGGAGAACACGAACCAGUGAUUCGUUCUAGGAAGGCAUAUGUCUACGCUGGAUCAACUAUUAUCAACGGCCAGAUCAAUUACCGAGUAACGAGACUAGUAUCAGAAAAUACGCUCAGCAUUGUCAAGCGGUUCGUUUCUACAGCGGCAUCAUCACGAACAAGAACAUUGGAAAGAGCCGAUUUAACUGCCUCAUACCUCACCCCUAUAAUCCUUGCUGUUGCGUGUAUUGCAUUUCUCAUCUGGGCUUUUGUCAACCGCUUCGUCAGGAAUUGGUCCAGCACAGAAUCAGCAGUCAACGCCCUUACGCAUGCGAUUGCAAUCCUCGCUAUCAGCUGCCCUUGUGCAUUAGCUCUGGCAGUCCCAAUGGUUCUAACAGUUGCUAGUACUGUGGGAACUAAGAAGGGGGUCCUAUUCAAAGCGGGAGCUGCUCUCGAAACUGGAUGCAAAAUUACCGAUGUUGUUUUUGAUAAAACAGGGACCUUAACAUCAGGCGAGCUAGCUGUCCUUUGUGAAACACUUUUCUGUGAGGAGUCCGGUCAAACUUGCCAGGAAAUAAGCAGGAUGGCAGCGACGGUCACAAGAGGGAAUCGCCAUCCUGUGUCUCUGGCAAUCACACAAUACGUCGCGAGCAACUACGGCCAAACAAACAACACACCGUCCCCUGAAGUAGACUCCAAGAUAAUCAUCGGCAAGGGUGUCGAAAUAACUACUGAGAAAGGCACAACACUGAAAGGUGGCAGCCCAUCCUGGCUUGGCGUCGAAACCCAUCCCAAAGUCAAAGAACUGCUCGAUGCAUCCCUGACCACAUUCUGUGUGGCACGAAACGAUACCCUCCUCGCUGUCUACGGACUCACCAGCACCAUCCGCCCCGAAGCCGCCGCCGUCCUCCAAAAGCUACACAGCAAGAGAAUAACCACCCACCUGCUCUCAGGAGACAACCCCCUUGCCGUCCGCGCCGUCGCUGCAUUCCUCAACUUCAACACGGCCAACGUCCACAGCCUCUGCCAACCCGAUAGCAAAGCAGCAUAUAUUCGCGACUUGCAGACGACCUCGAUGGUAACCCCUCCGCCUCCACCUCCCCUUGGACCCCGCUCCCUCUUCUCUUUCUUCCGGCUACCUCGCCUCCGCCCUCCUCCCUCCUGCCAACGAAAAGUCCUUUUCAUCGGCGACGGCACCAACGAUGCCCCCGCCCUUACCCAAGCAGACCUAGGCAUUUGCAUGACAAACGCAACCGACAUCGCCGCCGACGCCGCCGACGUUGGUAUCCUCUCUGGUUCGCUGGACGGCCUGCUCGCGUUCCUCGACCUAUCUCAGCAGGCGACGCGGCGGAUCCAGCUCAACAUCGCAUGGGCGGUGCUCUAUAACGUGUUUGCGGUGCUUUUUGCCGCUGGAGCGUUUGAGGCGGCUGGCUUCCGCAUCGAGCCGAGUUAUGCUGGGGCGGGGGAGAUUGUGAGUCUGUUACCGGUUGUGUUGGUUAGUUUGAGCUUGAGUCUUUGGGGGAGGAGGAGGUGACAGAUGAUGGAAUGGAAGAGAGCUACUUUCGAAGAACAAGGCGAGAGCCAGCGCAAAAGGGGGAAAAAAGGGGAAAAAACCAAGGUCGUCCCACUCCUGCUUCCAGUAAUUAACCAAUUUGAGUUUCCUUGUAUGCCUUUUGCAAUUCUUCCUUUUCUAAAAAAAUAAAAAUAAAAAUAAAAAUAAAAAAUUCCCCUUCUCCCUUUUGCUUUUCUAGGUUUUACCUUUAUUUUUAUCCUUUUAAUCUUUUUUUUUUCCUUCGUGAACUUCAGCAAGCGGAGCGCUCUAUGUAUGAUAUAGCUAUAGCUAUAAACACACAGCAUGGCUAAUUAAUUGAUUUGAUUUAAUUAACGUUCAGAUGACCUUUUGAGGCAGUUAGUUCCUUUAGAUCAGUUGCUAGCUACCCUUUAUUUAGUUAUUAUAUAUAUAUGUCUCUCUCUGACUCCCACCAAUAAAUGGAUAGGUCAUUCGAUGUAUUUCUGUUUUUCAGAUAUCGUUUAUCAUACUUGUGGUUGUUUGGAUUAUCCAACCUUCCCCGUGAAUGAGCCGUAUACAGUGUGCGCAGCAGGACGCUAGUAUUCAGUCAUCGCACAAUGCAUAAUCAGGAGGGAAACACAACAUUUCGAAUAGCGAUCAAGAAAGAAAAUAUUGCGGCCAGCGGCCAAUUCGAAUUGAUAUGAAAAAUGAACAAAAUUGAAUAAAAUUAAACAAAAUUAACGCCUCUUCGAAAAGUACAUUGGGUAUCUACACAUCACAAAAACAAAAAACGAAAGAAAAGAAAAGAAAACUCAUCAACUACAUGCAGCUCUAGAUACAUACCCUU
rnacentral:sRNA from 1 species